GCAAGCAUAUCUGGCUAGUCCAUAUGUUUCUUCUCUCUCCCAUUUUUUUUUCUUUGCCUUUCUUCUUUUCUUCGCCUUCAGCUUUCUUUCUUUCUUCUUUCUCCCUUUCUCCCUUUCUCCUCCCAUCCGAUAUACAAUCUCCACCCCAGCCCUACCUCCCUUCUGAUCUUUCUAUCAUUGAUUUCAGUCUUGACCCAGCCCAAUCCAAGUUCCUAUCGUCGACCCAACCCCCGUCCGAGCUUGGAAGCCUCGACCCAACCCCAUCCUCCAUUCCUCUGUGGGGUUUUUUCUUCUUCUUGGUUCUCCAUUUUAUUUUUGUCCCUCGUCUCACAAUAAUCACAAGGUUUGUGCCCGGGUUUUCAUUUUAGAUCUAAAGGUUUUCAUUUUUUGUCCGUUGAUGGUCCUUCAAGAAUGAGAGUAUCUGAUGUUUUUAUACAAAAUGUAAAGGUCGUCAAUUGUAUAAGACUCGAGAGUGUCUGUCAGAGUUGAAUCAUGAAAACAUAUGGGCAUUUUCGUCCUUGUAGUCUAAAAAGGGAAGGUCGAUCGAAGGAAGAGGAUUGAAAAAAAGACUAUGUUAAAAAUGCCCAAGUACUACACCACUAAUCUACUGAAAUUCAGAUGUGGAUUAAUGGCGAAAAUCAUCACCUCAUGGACUGAUGAUAACCCAGGGAGGAGAUUUGCCAUAUGUUAGUUAUUUGAGGAAGGAGUUGGGGGUGUGAUUUUCUGGGCUUGGGUUGAUGCUGAGAUGUGCAGUAGAUUGACACGGGUAAUACCAAGAUUGCUAAGAAGAAUAAACAAGUUGGAGGUUGAUGCUAGAAGUGCAAAGAAUACUAUGAAGGAGUUGAAGAUCGACAUUUGCAAGCUACUCCUUGAAUCGAAUACUACAAAGAGAAGAAUUAGACAAAUGCUCAUGGGGUGAUUGGUUGGAUAAUAUGAGUUGUCACGCGCGCGGCUUCCUCGCCAUCAAAUAAGUAGUUAAGGAAUGAGCAUCAAGCACUUGAUAAGAUGUGAUGAUAGUAAUGUGUAGUAUUUGUGUACUCCGUUUAGUAAUUAUACAGCAAUUUAGUGUUAA